rnacentral:rRNA from 2 species
UCCAGCAGCCGCGGUAAUACGUAGGUGGCAAGCGUUAUCCGGAUUUAUUGGGCGUAAAGCGAGCGCAGGCGGUUUUUUAAGUCUGAUGUGAAAGCCCUCGGCUUAACCGAGGAAGCGCAUCGGAAACUGGGAAACUUGAGUGCAGAAGAGGACAGUGGAACUCCAUGUGUAGCGGUGAAAUGCGUAGAUAUAUGGAAGAACACCAGUGGCGAAGGCGGCUGUCUGGUCUGUAACUGACGCUGAGGCUCGAAAGCAUGGGUAGCGAACAGGAUUAGAUACCCUGGUAGUCCAUGCCGUAAACGAUGAAUGCUAGGUGUUGGAGGGUUUCCGCCCUUCAGUGCCGCAGCUAACGCAUUAAGCAUUCCGCCUGGGGAGUACGACCGCAAGGUUGAAACUCAAAGGAAUUGACGGGGGCCCGCACAAGCGGUGGAGCAUGUGGUUUAAUUCGAAGCAACGCGAAGAACCUUACCAGGUCUUGACAUCUUUUGAUCACCUGAGAGAUCAGGUUUCCCCUUCGGGGGCAAAAUGACAGGUGGUGCAUGGUUGUCGUCAGCUCGUGUCGUGAGAUGUUGGGUUAAGUCCCGCAACGAGCGCAACCCUUAUGACUAGUUGCCAGCAUUUAGUUGGGCACUCUAGUAAGACUGCCGGUGACAAACCGGAGGAAGGUGGGGAUGACGUCAAAUCAUCAUGCCCCUUAUGACCUGGGCUACACACGUGCUACAAUGGAUGGUACAACGAGUUGCGAGACCGCGAGGUCAAGCUAAUCUCUUAAAGCCAUUCUCAGUUCGGACUGUAGGCUGCAACUCGCCUACACGAAGUCGGAAUCGCUAGUAAUCGCGGAUCAGCACGCCGCGGUGAAUACGUUCCCGGGCCUUGUACACACCGCCCGUCACACCAUGAGAGUUUGUAACACCCGAAGCCGGUGGCGUAACCCUUUUAGGGAGCGAGCCGUCUAAGGUGGGACAAAUGAUUAGGGUGAAGUCGUAACAAGGU